GGGGUUGUAGCUCAAUGUUUGAGCACUUGCCUCGGGUGCAUGAGGCACUGGGUUCAAUCCUCAGCACCACA
rnacentral:tRNA from 1 species